AUAACCUUUAAGUGUGUCCAGAGAGGCAGGCAAGGUCAGAAUCUUGAAUGAACUUAAUUAAAGUAUAUUAUAGAGUAUUUUCUGAUACCUUCCCUAGCCCUUGGACUAGGGAAUUUUUCUA
rfam:Lactococcus garvieae Lg2 DNA, complete genome.